GAUGAACGCUGGCGGCGUGCCUAAUACAUGCAAGUCGAGCGAACAGACGAGGAGCUUGCUCCUCUGACGUUAGCGGCGGACGGGUGAGUAACACGUGGAUAACCUACCUAUAAGACUGGGAUAACUUCGGGAAACCGGAGCUAAUACCGGAUAAUAUAUUGAACCGCAUGGUUCAAUAGUGAAAGACGGUUUUGCUGUCACUUAUAGAUGGAUCCGCGCCGCAUUAGCUAGUUGGUAAGGUAACGGCUUACCAAGGCAACGAUGCGUAGCCGACCUGAGAGGUUGAUCGGCCACCCUGGAACUGAGACACGGUCCAGGCUCUUACUGGAGGCAGCAGGAGGGAAUCUUCCGCAAUGGGCGAAAGCCUGACGGAUCAACGCCGCGUGAGUGAUGAAGGUCUUCGGAUCGUAAAACUCUGUUAUUAGGGAAGAACAAUUGUGUAAGUAACUAUGCACGUCUUGACGGUACCUAAUCAGAAAGCCACGGCUAACUACGUG
rnacentral:rRNA from 1 species